CCGACGUCAUUUAUCUGAUUUA
rnacentral:snRNA from 1 species